rnacentral:misc_RNA from 1 species
AUCACCUGUUUGGUCGUGUUGU